CCAAAGAACCUUCCGUAGGUGAACCUGCGGAAGGAUCAUUA
rnacentral:rRNA from 1 species